UGCAGUCGAACGGAAGGCCCAGCUUGCUGGGUACUCGAGUGGCGAACGGGUGAGUAACACGUGGGUGAUCUGCCCUGCACUCUGGGAUAAGCCUGGGAAACUGGGUCUAAUACCGGAUAUGACCAACUGUCGCAUGGUGGUUGGUGGAAAGCUUUUGCGGUGUGGGAUGGGCCCGCGGCCUAUCAGCUUGUUGGUGGGGUAAUGGCCUACCAAGGCGACGACGGGUAGCCGACCUGAGAGGGUGAUCGGCCACACUGGGACUGAGACACGGCCCAGACUCCUACGGGAGGCAGCAGUGGGGAAUAUUGCACAAUGGGCGCAAGCCUGAUGCAGCGACGCCGCGUGAGGGAUGACGGCCUUCGGGUUGUAAACCUCUUUCACCAGGGACGAAGCGUGAGUGACGGUACCUGGAGAAGAAGCACCGGCCAACUACGUGCCAGCAGCCGCGGUAAUACGUAGGGUGCGAGCGUUGUCCGGAAUUACUGGGCGUAAAGAGCUCGUAGGCGGUUUGUCGCGUCGUCUGUGAAAUUCUGCAACUCAAUUGCAGGCGUGCAGGCGAUACGGGCAGACUUGAGUACUACAGGGGAGACUGGAAUUCCUGGUGUAGCGGUGAAAUGCGCAGAUAUCAGGAGGAACACCGGUGGCGAAGGCGGGUCUCUGGGUAGUAACUGACGCUGAGGAGCGAAAGCGUGGGUAGCGAACAGGAUUAGAUACCCUGGUAGUCCACGCCGUAAACGGUGGGUACUAGGUGUGGGUUCCUUUUCACGGGAUCCGUGCCGUAGCUAACGCAUUAAGUACCCCGCCUGGGGAGUACGGCCGCAAGGCUAAAACUCAAAGGAAUUGACGGGGGCCCGC
rnacentral:rRNA from 1 species